AUCCAGCUGUCGACUCCCAAAUAGGACGAAACACGCGUCAAACUGGAU
rnacentral:hammerhead_ribozyme from 1 species